rnacentral:lncRNA from 1 species
AUAGACUUUGAAUUCUUGGGAAAUUUAAGUGGUGACCCUUACACUCUUCAUACCAAUGUCUUUACAAAUGGCAAAGGUGACAGAGAGCAACAAUUUCACCUCUGGUUUGACCCCGCUGCUGACUUUCACACCUAUUCUAUCCUCUGGAAUCCUCAGCGCAUUGUGUAAGUAAUAUUUUCCUUCAAUCUCCAUCAUUAGUUUUUUUUCCUUGUCAUUCAAUCUGCUUAGACUUAUCAAUGUUUACUUAAUUUUCAGCUUCUCUGUUGAUGGCACGCCCAUAAGAGAAUUUAAGAACUCAGAGUCAAUUGGCGUUCCGUUCCCAAAGAAUCAGCCAAUGAGAAUAUACUCUUCUCUCUGGAAUGCUGAUGACUGGGCCACAAGAGGUGGCCUCGUGAAGACAGAUUGGACGCAUGCUCCUUUCACUGCUUCCUACAGAAACUUUAAUGCUGAAGCUUGUGUUUGGUCUAAUGGAAAAUCUUCUUGCGCUUCAAAUUCUGCUUCCUCUACAUCCAGCAACGGUGCUUGGUUCUCACAAGAGCUAGAUUCAACAAAUCAAAAUAGGCUGAAAUGGGUGCAGAAGAAUUACAUGAUUUACAAUUACUGCACUGAUACAAAGAGAUUUCCUCAGGGCCUUCCUGCAGAAUGCAGAAUCUCCUAGAGAAAAUAAUCAACAAGACACUUAAAAAUUAUUUUAUUCUUUCGUGUAAUCAUUCAAUGGUUAUUCAAUUCAUGUAGAUUCUGGAGUCAGAUUCUUUGUUUCUCUGUAAUCAAUAAAAUGGCAUGUUAGUCCAAUUUUUACCAUAUGUAACACUGGUUAAUGAAUUUAAAAAAGGAUAAUGUUAUGCGUACUUGCGUGGUAUACAAAUUAAGUAUGCUAACUAAGUAAACAUAAUAUUACUAUUUCAAAAGAUUUUGUUCUUCUUUGUUGUUAUUCUUCGUAAGCUUUAGCAUAUAGUUAUAAGCCUAAUUAAAGGUAUUGACAUGAUGACUCAUUAAUAAAGCUUUUAGACCCUAGAUUGGAAUAUGAAGAAUUAUCGAGGAAGCAUGAAGAUAAGAGCAAAUGAGUCUCCACCAGAAUGAGAAGAAAAUAUACUGCGUGUGAGCGUUACCGUAUUUGUGUCAAUCGAGGAGAAAUUUUGGCCAUUGAUUAGUAUUUAGAUAAGGCAGUAAAAGGGUAAAAUGGCAGAAAUAAACUAAAAAAAUAACUGAGUGAACUUGCACAAGUCGAUGAGGAAGAGUGAUGCAUACUGUUAUUGUUGUACGUGUUAAUUAAUAAUGAGAGGGGGACAAGCUGCGAGCCAGCUCUCAAGUGUUGAUUUUUCAAGGCGAGUCAACCCCGCCAGGACACCACCGCCUUUCCAGAUAAACAAAUUAAACAUUCUCUAGUAUAAGUGGUAAUAUACAAAACAGGAAACAGGGCUUUUGUACACAGCAAAAUCUUCAGUCCGUUCGAUUUAAAUACCAAUAUCUAUAAAUUCCUUAAUAAUAAUAAUAAUAAUAAGCAUAUCUUCAAGUUCUAUAUGUGUUUUAUUACACACGAACCCACCAGGAAGCAUGUGUUAUCAAUUAACCUAAAAUUUGGAAACAAAUUCACAGUUUCAUGUUACUAGGAAGCAUGUGUAUCGGUAUCUUGGGAUACAUAUUUCUUAGAUGUUAGAUCCAUGAUUAGUGUUAGGGACUCCAGUAAAGACUUGUCUUUAAUUUUCUUGGGUCAAGCCAAUUUCGUUUUUACAUAGCAAAGGUUUCUUGUUCAAAUCUCAGCGUGCUCAAUUUUUUGCGAAUAACACACGUAUAUGUUUCAAUUCUUGUAUGUUCAAGAACCUCUAAUUUAAUCUCCUAUCUCCGCUUUUGGAACGACAUGACCUUCAAACUGGAUCCAUGUUUCACAUGGGCAGGUCUUUUAACACUUUAAUGCUAUUUUCUGGACUCCUGUUUAACGUCUUAAGCUUUUGAAUUAAAUGAUUUCCUGAUAAUAAAUAUAGUUAUCGAAAAAAUCUGUUAAUUAAGUAGGUCAUUGAGCAAUUUUUUCUUUUUCUUUUUCUUUUGAGCAUAAAAUGCAAAAAAAAAAAAAAUGAAAAUCUCGAGAGAGAAGAGUACCCAGUGAAUUCUACAUUUUCUUUUUUGUGUUUUGACUGGUGGUGGCUGGAAAAAAAAAAAGCUAAUAAGAGUCAGCCGGUGAUGGGAACAUAACAGCAGUACAGAAUAAGUACUUGAGUCUCAAAAAUAUGCAAAGCCGCGUAUUGUAAUUAAAAAAAGUCCCUGUUGUAGCGUGUUCUGUUAGUGCGAUUCGGACAGCUGUUUUUAUUUCAUCACGCUAUUUUACGCAAACAACUGGCCACAGCUGAAGCUGAACUAACUGGAGCUUCCCAUUACUUUCCUCUGCUUUCGUUAUACUCACCUUCACCAGCUCAAUCAAGCUAUAAAUACCAAACCCUGGUAAGGUCCUAAACACACUCAUCGCUUCACUUUAAAAAAUUUCAAACUUCUCUCCAACUCAAUUUCUUCUAUCUUGUUGUUGCUCAGACGAAAGCUUCCAUGGCUUCAGUAUUGCAUCUGUCGCUGCUGCUUCUUGGCUCUUUGAUGGUUACCUCUGCUGGUAACUUCCACCAAGAUUUUGAUAUCACUUGGGGAGACGGGCGUGCUAAUAUACUCAACAACGGCCAGCUUCUUACUCUUUCCCUUGAUAAAGCCUCUGGCUCCGGCUUCCAGUCCAAGAAUGAGUAUCUAUUCGGCAAGAUUGAUAUGCAACUCAAACUAGUCCCUGGCAACUCUGCCGGCACUGUCACUGCUUAUUAUGUAAGUUCCUGCCUUUAUAUGAAUAAACAAUAUGCAUGUUUGAUCAUCACCCUUUAUAUGAAUAAACAAUAUGCAUGUUUGAUCAUCAUGUAUCUGACAUAUAGACCUUUGACUUUUUGUUCACGCAGUUAAAAUCGCCAGGAUCAACAUGGGAUGAGAUAGACUUCGAGUUCUUGGGGAAUUUAAGUGGUGACCCUUACACUCUGCAUACCAAUGUAUUCACAAAUGGCAAAGGUGACAAAGAACAACAAUUUCACCUCUGGUUUGACCCCACUGCUGACUUUCACACCUAUUCUAUCCUCUGGAAUCCUCAGCGCAUUGUGUAAGCAAUAUUUUCCUUCAAUCUCCAUCAUUUCUUCUUUCCUUGUCAUUCAAUCUGCUUAGACUUAUCAAUGUUUACUUAAUUUUCAGCUUCUCUGUGGAUGGUACUCCCAUAAGAGAGUUCAAGAACUCAGAGUCAAUUGGAGUUGCAUUCCCAAAGAAUCAGCCAAUGAGAAUAUACUCAUCUCUCUGGAAUGCUGAUGACUGGGCUACAAGAGGUGGCCUUGUCAAGACAGAUUGGACGCAUGCUCCCUUCACGGCUUCCUACAGAAACUUCAACGCUGAUGCCUGUGUCUGGUCUAAUGGAAAAUCUUCUUGCGCUUCAAGUUCACCUUCCUCUCCAUCCAGCAGCAGUGCCUGGUUCUCACAAGAGCUUGAUUCAACAAGUCAAGAAAGGCUGAAAUGGGUGCAGAAGAAUUACAUGAUUUACAAUUAUUGCGCUGAUGCAAAGAGAUUUCCCCAGGGACUCCCUGCAGAAUGCAGAACCUCUUAGAAGUUUUGCAAAAUCAACACAUACAUCAAAAAAAUUUAUUCUUUUUGUCAAUUCUUUGAUUCUUUGUUGUAUUUUGUCGUCAAUAAAAUGGCAAAUUAGUCCAACUUUCUCAAUGUAAUACAAAAUUUAGCAUAUAAAUAUCAUGAGAUUAUGUUCUCUACUCUUCGCAUGCUUGCUAUAUGUUCUUCUUUGGCUAGGUUUUAACGUAGAAACGACCAAACCUCUUCACAUAUGCAAUGGUACUCUAAAUUUUUGACUGACUUAACGGGUAAGGACUAGCAAAAUAUUCUAUUGCCAUUAAAACGACUUCUCUCAUUUGGGACUUUUAUCAAACAUCUUGCAAGCAAACGAUUAAAAUUCACCGACACCCACUCCGAGAUUUUUUUUUUAAUGUCCUGUUAAAAUAGUACACCCAACAGUAACAUGACAAUAAAAAGAUAAAUCAAGAACAAAUACAAUCACAAUUGUAUCCAGUUAUUUAAUUCUUAUAUUCAUCUUUGAUUCUUUCAUGUAGUAUUCAUGCAUGUUCACACACAAAUUAGGAUCCAAGCUUUAUGGCAUUUGGGGAUUGAGCAUCUUCUUGAUUGGGGGGGGUGGAAUGGUUAAUGCACUAAUAAAUUGUAACUUAGUUUAUCACGUUUUAUUAGGUAGGAUCCAAAAAAAUGAACAUUGAUUUGAUGAGUAAUGAUACACUUAUAAAAUUCAGAUGUAAAGUUUAUAUAGUAAAUAAUGUGAUAUUUGAUAUAUCAUUCAUUUAUUAAUGUUUGAUCCUAUUAAAAAAUUAACUUUAUAAAUGUGUCAUUACUCUGAUUUUAUUACGUGUUUAGUAAUUGUUUAAUGUUAAAAAAAAACACUUAAGUAAAACCAUAUUUGUUGUUCGAUUGAAAAAUAAACAGGCUGUUAGUUUAGUAUUAUCAUUACAAUAAAUUAACACAAAAAAUGGUGAGACACAUUUGACAUAAAGCAUUGGAUUCCAUAUGGUGGGACUCAUAACUCAUUUGAACCUUUUUUUUUUUUGUUUUUUAAUUCCUUAUACAUUCUCAGAAACAUGUACAUAUAUUUAUUACUUUUUCAUCUUACGAUAAUAAGGCUAAUAUUUAUCAUCCAUUCAACAAAUUACAGAAUCCUCAAUUUUAUAUUCAACACUCAAAUAAUUGAAGCAUUCCAUAUUUUGUUCGCAAAUGAAAAGGUGAUAAAAUUUUUCGAUCGUCCUAAUACUAGAGUCUAGAGCCAUUCUCCAAUAGUAAAAGAAAUGACAAAAAUAUUUGGAAAACAAACAGAAAGGUUUAAUUAUUUUAAUAACUUUGUUGUCUGUUGAAAUUAUGUAGUUAUAUCUACAAGAUUCUAAAUUAUUCACACACAGCAUAAAAAUAUAAAAAUUGAAACGAUAAUUGCUUAUUUUAUUCUCUGACGAAAAAUUGAAAAUGAAAAAAAUGAUAAAUAAGGAGAAAGUCUUAAGUAUUCUUGACAAAUUACUCCCUACUCAAUUAUUCAACUUUAAUUGUGUUUGAACAUUUUCAUGAUUUUUUUUUAAUUAAAAUUUUGUCGGCAUCCACUGCUGUGGAAUUAAUUUAUUACUUGUAUGUAUAAUAUAUGAAUCAUUUAAUAAACCAAGCAAGACGAUUUCUAAUUUUAUUUUAACACAUAUGUAAAGCAGCAAAAAGAUAUAAUAAUAUUCAAAAUGGAAGUUUAAAAUAAUCAUGGCAUUAAAUAGACUUAAGCCAUAAUUAAUUAUAUCGGUUAUAGAUUAAUUAAUCACUUCAUAUUGUUUUGGAUUCAAAUGGUAAUUAAGCAAGUAUAUUUCCCCCUGUUUAGUCUAACAUGCAUUUUAUCUAGCAGUCGUCGCUUUAUAAUAAACAAUAUUAUCGUUUUAACUUAAUUAAUUAACGUCUUAUUCUUUAUACAAAAAUAAUGGACAAAUUGAAACCGGUCAGCAUCAUCAAAGAAUUUAAAAAAAGAAAAGGAAAAAAGAUAAGAGCUUGGUGACUUAUGAUCAGCAAUCAAGCUAUACUCCAUUAUUGAAAAAGAAACUGGUCUAACAACAUUCAAUUACACUCCUGAACAGAAAGAGAAAGAUAUAAGAGAGAGAGAGAGAGAGAGAUUAAAGAUGCGCUAAAUGAAUGGAUCAUCGCCAUUAGAGAUGUAUCCUCACUAUCUUUUCCUGGGAAGUUUAUUUGGAAAGCUAGAAAAUGAAAGGAAAUGAUACAAGAUAUAUAUAUAUAUAUAUAUAUAUAUAUAUAUCUAUCCAUCGUACGUGCUUCACUUUCACUUUCAAGAACUUAUGGACUGAUGUGAAGAGAGCUCCAUGAGGGGGAUUUUAAGGUGUUCCCAAUUUAUCAUCUGCGGUUGAGAAAUGAAAAAUGUAGGGUGCAAACCCCAAUAACCCCGUCUCUAGUGUUUACAGCCCCUCUUUAUUUAUAGGGUUUUACAUCUACAAAUAGAAAAAUUUUAAAAUACAUUAAAGAUAUUAUGUAACUUAUACAACAAGUAAAUAAUAUUAUGGCAUGUGUGUAUUUAUUUUAAAAAAUUAUUAUAUAAAUAGUGAUUAUAUUAAAUUCAAUUACAUAUAUCAUAUAUGUAUUAAUUAUUUGUAAUACAUCAAAAAUAUUCUAAAAUUUCUCCAACAAGUGAUGCUGAUAGCCUUGCAAAUUUUUGUAUGCUUUAAUGCCACGUACUUGCUUCUUAAUUGUGAUAGUUAGAUUGUAAAAAUUUUGGGUUUACAUUUAUUUACUUUAUAAUUAAUUAGCAAAUACUAGUGCAGGCACCCUUGAUAGAUAUUAGAUUGUCAGUUAAUAUGUAGUAACUUUAGGAAACAAAUUUAUGAGGUGGAAUAAGAAAAAAGUUAAAAGAA